GUUCAACGGCGAGGCCACGUGACCAUCCGCUAUCAUGUGACUCUCAUUGGGCCAGUCUGCAGGGUCCUAAACUCCGCCUACCUCAACUCUACGGAGGAGUAAUAUUGGCAGGCAGAUGUUUAUGUAAUGGAACCAGAAGACUGAUCCGGAAUGGUCACGUGGCCUCUGCUUUUGGACCCUGUCUGGAGGAGUGCGUUAAAAAGCCGUCUUUCUUGCCUGAGGUAUAUCUCGUGCCUGGCUCUGUCUGCAUUUCUGAAGCCGCAGAUCUUUCCACAACUGCACCGCACGCUGUAAGAGCAGGAAGUGGGGGCAAAGAUGGUGCAGCGGAUCGGGAACAAAGCAGCAUAUGUAGACCCGCAGGUCUGUGCUCCUCACCCCUCCCUCCCGUGCCUCUGGGGAUCAUGAUGACCAAAUGGAUGUUUUGUUCUCCUUCCCUUUGUCCUCUCAGGUAGAGUGAGAAAAACACAAGGCUUUGCUCUUCAACACAAUCUCGUCUGUCUGCCUGCCAAUAGGCCACAGUUUCACAAAUUAGUGACUCGCGCAAAGAGCAGUUCUUUCACUAUUGUUUGGUCUUGGCUAAUGUGUAAUGGGUAAUGUUUAGCCGGUGUAAUACUCUGUAUCCGCAGCCUGCUGCCACCUUGUCUGCUUUCAGUCAAAGCUGGCAUUCAUUUCUGAUUUUACGACUUAAGUCGAAUCACAUGGGACACGAUGUGGACUGUUCGCUGCAAAAAGUUUAUUCUGACAUCAAAAGUACACUCACUCACUUUACUGCCACAUUGCAUACAAUGUUAAUGUUACGUUUAACUGUGUUUAGGUUCCUGGCACUGGUAAUACAUUUACUUCUCACAACUUUAUUGAUACACAGUAUGACAUAAAUUCACUUCAAAUGUUUCUCAUCAGAACGUUUCAAAUCAAAUUUCAAUCAUGCUUUUUACAUAUGCUGUAUAUAUGUAAAAAAAAAAAAGAACAAAACCAAUAAAACCAAUAAAACUACUUUACAUUAUAGUUGUAUACAGUAUACGUGUGUUAACCUACAAGUUAUUGUUAAUCCAUCCACAUUCCAAGAAAGGAGAAGAGUAGAAUAUGAGUUUGCUUCAAAUCAAUUCAAUGACAUGUCAAUGUCAAUUAAUGACAGUCAGAUGAGAUAACAUUAUGCAACAGGAAUCAAUUGCUGUAUCUCUAAACAACAAUUUCACAGUAAAACACUUUGCCAUGUUGCUCCAUUAGUUGCUGAAUAGUCAACACUGGUUACAUAACAGACACAACACUUCCAGGAUUUAUUGCAUGAAUAAUGCUUAUAGAUUAUCAUGUGUCUGUCUAUCCUCUGUCAUCACAGGUCAAGACUUGGUGUAUGAUCUUAUCUGGCACAAGGUCACAGAUUAAGUUGCUUGUGUGUUUCCCUUUGUUCAUUGGAAAUUACUGUAUGAGCUUAAAA